AGUGAACGCUGGCGGUAGGCCUAACACAUGCAAGUCGAACGGCAGCACAGUAAGAGCUUGCUCUUACGGGUGGCGAGUGGCGGACGGGUGAGGAAUACAUCGGAAUCUACUUUUUCGUAGGGGAUAACGUAGGGAAACUUACGCUAAUACCGCAUACGACCUACGGGUGAAAGCAGGGGAUCUUCGGACCUUGCGCGAUUGAAUGAGCCGAUGUCGGAUUAGCUAGUUGGCGGGGUAAAGGCCCACCAAGGCGACGAUCCGUAGCUGGUCUGAGAGGAUGAUCGGCCACACUGGAACUGAGACACGGUCCAGACUCCUACGGGAGGCCGCAGUGGGGAAUAUUGGACAGUGGGCGCAAGCCUGAUCCAGCCAUACCGCGUGGGUGAAGAAGGCCUUCGGGUUGUAAAGCCCUUUUGUUGGGAAAGAAAAGCAGCAGGUUAAUACCCCGCUGUUCUGACGGUACCCAAAGAAUAAGCACCGGCUAACUUCGUG
rnacentral:rRNA from 1 species